rnacentral:lncRNA from 13 species
UGGCAGCAUAACUAUGAAGAUUAUUUUCACAAAUAGUAGGCAGUCUAAAGCGGUAGUUAACAGAUAACUUAAGGAAUGAUAGUACGCCAGGCGAUGCAAAACUAACUCACCCAUUGUUCGGAUACACAUGCUUGGGCUGCCUAGAAAAUGAGGCUUCCCAGAGGUGGAACAGCUAAGUAACAUACUUGUGCGGUACUUGUAUGAUUAUUGAGUGGUUAAAAUGCAGAUCGUUUUUUGCCCCAAUGCAAAACUCAAAUGCAGUUACAUAUUUUUUUAAGGAACCCUGGCUAUUGGCUACAAUAUGGCAGCAACUAUAAAGAUUAGCCUACAUCGUCACACAAAACGCUGAUUGUUUUUGCUCCAGUGCAAUGUGUUGGGACUGCAUCCUGCUUGUGCAACUGCAAUAUCCGUUACAACUGACAGAGAAGGUUGCACAACCUUCAAUAAAUAUUUUUGUGAACGUUCGUUCAAAUUGCUGCAGGGAUUUUUAUUUCAGCUGUUCAGAAAUAUGAGGCGGAGACAUAGGCUACAUCAUCAUGGUUCAGAACAGGGCCAUUACAGUCACCCUGUCUCUGGAGACACACACACAUGCUCAGUAUUCCAGCCAAUGUUCAAGGAUUCUUCAAAGCAUCAGGAGCCAGAGAAAACCACAGAGGUAGGACUGAGGUGCCCAAGCAUCGACCGGUUGAGGAACAGAGAACCAGCAGCCAGCAGUCUCAGACAGACAGAGAGACAGACAGACUACUACUGUUCUGAGCCACUGCACACAACACAAUUAACCAUCUCAACACUGCACACCCUGCACACACUUUAACAUGUAUUCCCUUUAUAUAUGAUGUAAAGUUGACAUCCAGUUCCCACAGUGAUAUACAGUAAAUGCUUAAAACCCAUUACACACAUACAUAAUUGAGACAUUUUCUGUUAUAUAAUUCACAUUCAUAGAUGUGUAGUUAAAUAUUUUUAUUUCACCAGAUAUUUUAACAGGCAUAACUUUUUGGGGGGCUGGCUGUCCUAUGUUACUGAAAAAUAUCCUACCCCCUUCUUUUCUCACGUGUGAAUGCAAAAGCCAGUGAGCACUAAUGAAAGCACUGUAGUUUUGUUUUAUAUGAGAUUCUCUCCUAUAUGAUCCAAAUAGUAAUCAUGCACCUGGGACUGUACGGUGCCAUUAAAUGCACAGUGGGUGCAUUUACUUACAGACACAGGCUAUACUGUCCACAAUUGUGGAAUUCCUCACAAAUUCCAAACCAGGACCCUCCAUUCAAUAACUGAGAGUAAAAUGUUGAAUAUAAACAUUGAGACCAUUAUAUCUCCUUUAUAAUGAGUCUAGAUUGUAGCACCAUGUCAAUAUGUCUACCACAGGAAACUACUGAUAAUGACUUCUGAGGAGCAUGUUUACAACAGCAGUUUUAUUUUCCUAAGGUUAGCCAUUAGCUCUGUUGAAGGUCACUGAAUAAGUAUCCUCUCAGGGUUUCUUUCAUUUACUCUCGCAGCUCCUCUGAACCUUUUUACUGAUUCAUGGAAACAUCAAUGUUCACCGCAGCAUCGAGAGAGUACAUGUGAUGCAGAAACACUUGUUUGUCUCAAGUUGUAAUGUUCAUUCACCCAUCACUGUGGAACCAAAUUCUUAAAAAAGUUACAGCACUGAGAAGUUGAAAGCAGAGAGCUAAGCCAUCAACUGUAAAAGUGUUACUGUUUUAGACAGCUCUAAAGUGCAUUGAUCUACAGUAUAUCUGUCAAUACUAAUCAAACUCAAAAGUACAAUAUCAAAUACUAAUAUAAUUCAAUAGACAGCAGACUUUCAAGGUUGUAAAUUCUUGCUUUUGUGUCUUUUCUGGACAUGAUUUGUGUACUCUGUUUAUAGGUUCAGGGGGUGAAGGCAAUUCCACAAAGUCAACUGGAGGCAUACAGUAUAUUAAAAUUGCAUGAACAUUUGAAUUGAAGUGUUUUGAUCACACAGAGCAAGAAAUCACAGCAUUGAAUUCAAACAUAUGGCAUAGCAACUGAUUCUAGGUCUUGAAUGGAAGAUUAAUCGUGCACUAUUGAUAAUUUUUCACUUCCACUUUCAACCAAAAAAAUAAGCAUUACAGCUACUGCAUGCUCGUUGAAUGAUAAGUGUUAAACUCAAUGUGAUGGCAAUGAAAUGUCCCAACAACUGUGAUUUGGUAGUUCUGUCAUGAAUGGUUCCUGUUAACAGCUAACAGCAGUUAUCUACCUCAUCCCUACUCCAAAACUGAAAACUAGUUCACAGUUCAAUGUACUAAAAUUGAAAAACGUAUUCAGUGGUUUAAAGAAGGACACUGGCAAUACUUCGGUACCUGUGCACUUUUGGUUGUAUCUUUCCGAAAAAUACUGUGGAUGAAAGUUCAUGGUGGCAAGAGCUUAAAAAGGAUGUCCUCUUCUUUAAGAAGUUCUCUUUGCCUUUCAUAGAGGUGAUUACCUUGAUAUUUAAACCCAAUACACUUCCUGGACUGUUACAUAACAGUUUUGAAGCU